rnacentral:lncRNA from 1 species
UCUUGUCCCCAACAUCUUCCUCCUCCCAAAUGCUUGAGCAUCUCUUGGAUGUGAAAGAGAUAGUCGUGGACCUGACGGAGCUGAGCUGCAGGCUCUUGACUCUGCCUCUGUGAGACUGGGAAGUUGCUGCUUUUGUCCUGUUACUCAUCACAGCCACAGAAUGCAAACUAGGACACUAGACUUCAGCAGCCGUAUCACUUCUGAUGGCCAGGAGGAUGUUGGGUACAAGUCGUGACGAAUUGGCAGAGCUCUGGGAUAGAAAUC